rnacentral:rRNA from 1 species
ACGGGUGAGUAACACGUAGGCAACCUGCCUGCAAGCCUGGGAUAACUGCGGGAAACCGCAGCUAAUACCGGAUACGCAGUCGAGAUGCAUAUCUUGACUGGGAAAGGCGGAGCAAUCUGUCGCUUGUAGAUGGGCCUGCGGCGCAUUAGCUAGUUGGUGAGGUAACGGCUCACCAAGGCGACGAUGCGUAGCCGACCUGAGAGGGUGAUCGGCCACACUGGGACUGAGACACGGCCCAGACUCCUACGGGAGGCAGCAGUAGGGAAUCUUCCGCAAUGGACGCAAGUCUGACGGAGCAACGCCGCGUGAGUGAGGAAGGCCUUCGGGUCGUAAAGCUCUGUUGCCAGGGAAGAAUGUCGAGGAGAGUAACUGCUCUUCGAAUGACGGUACCUGAGAAGAAAGCCCCGGCUAACUACGUGCCAGCAGCCGCGGUAAUACGUAGGGGGCAAGCGUUGUCCGGAAUUAUUGGGCGUAAAGCGCGCGCAGGCGGCUUUGUAAGUCUGGUGUUUAAACCCGAAGCUCAACUUCGGGUCGCAUUGGAAACUGCAAGGCUUGAGUGCAGAAGAGGAAAGUGGAAUUC